rnacentral:rRNA from 1 species
GUAGGUGGCAAGCGUUGUCCGGAAUUAUUGGGCGUAAAGCGCGCGCAGGCGGUCCAUUAAGUCUGAUGUGAAAGCCCACGGCUCAACCGUGGAGGGUCAUUGGAAACUGGGGGACUUGAGUACAGAAGAGGAAAGCGGAAUUCCAAGUGUAGCGGUGAAAUGCGUAGAGAUUUGGAGGAACACCAGUGGCGAAGGCGGCUUUCUGGUCUGUAACUGACGCUGAGGCGCGAAAGCGUGGGGAGCAAACAGGGAUUAGAUACCCUGGUAGUCCACGCCGUAAACGAUGAGUGCUAAGUGUUAGGGGGGUUUCCGCCCCCUUAGUGCUGCAGCUACCGCAUUAAGCACUCCGCCUGGGGAUACGGCCGCAAGGCUG